rnacentral:rRNA from 1 species
UCGAACGAACUCUGGUAUUGAUUGGUGCUUGCAUCAUGAUUUACAUUUGAGUGAGUGGCGAACUGGUGAGUAACACGUGGGAAACCUGCCCAGAAGCGGGGGAUAACACCUGGAAACAGAUGCUAAUACCGCAUAACAACUUGGACCGCAUGGUCCGAGUUUGAAAGAUGGCUUCGGCUAUCACUUUUGGAUGGUCCCGCGGCGUAUUAGCUAGAUGGUGGGGUAACGGCUCACCAUGGCAAUGAUACGUAGCCGACCUGAGAGGGUAAUCGGCCACAUUGGGACUGAGACACGGCCCAAACUCCUACGGGAGGCAGCAGUAGGGAAUCUUCCACAAUGGACGAAAGUCUGAUGGAGCAACGCCGCGUGAGUGAAGAAGGGUUUCGGCUCGUAAAACUCUGUUGUUAAAGAAGAACAUAUCUGAGAGUAACUGUUCAGGUAUUGACGGUAUUUAACCAGAAAGCCACGGCUAACUACGUGCCAGCAGCCGCGGUAAUACGUAGGUGGCAAGCGUUGUCCGGAUUUAUUGGGCGUAAAGCGAGCGCAGGCGGUUUUUUAAGUCUGAUGUGAAAGCCUUCGGCUCAACCGAAGAAGUGCAUCGGAAACUGGGAAACUUGAGUGCAGAAGAGGACAGUGGAACUCCAUGUGUAGCGGUGAAAUGCGUAGAUAUAUGGAAGAACACCAGUGGCGAA